UGGAGGUUGACGCCACUGGGGUUUCUUGUUGUAAAUAUACUUCCUUAUUAGCUUAUCUGGUACAGAAAAAGUCACAUUUUAAUUUUCUCUUUUUACACAGCAGCUGACAUUCUCCCUGUCUGGAACUUGCGCAAGGAAAUCGAGAUGGCACAACACCCAGCUUUGACUCUGAGGUUUUCUAAAGUCAUUAAUGGAUUCUCACAUGAAGAUCUCCUCAAGAUCACAGAGAACUACAAGCCUCAGCUGGCCUACGUGAUGAACUUCGACAUCAGCAGCAUCCUGCAGCUCCUGGUCAACAAGCACAUCCUCACCAAUGAUGAAGCAAAGCAUUCAUGACAUUCUCCCUGUCUGGAACUUGCGCAAGGAAAUCGAAGACACUUUUAUUCAAAGCAAUUUACAAAAGAGGUCAACGUAAUGGAAUAAACAUCACUCUGGGACUGUUUAAGAACACGUGUGACAGGACAAGGGGACAAAAUUGAUCAGCACAAGUGAAGAACUUUAAAGCACUUUACAUCAGGAAAUCACCUUCAGAGUAUCAGCGCGGUCGCACAUGUGGAGUAUUUACCACCAGUUCAAGUGGAACACCAACGCCGUAGUCACUUAGACUUCAAGAUUGUUGAAGGCUUCGUCACUCUCUGAGGUGCACAAAAAUGUCUUUGUAGUCUUCUUGGUUAAGAGUACGAAUGGACAAUGUGAAGGUUUUACAAUUGUUAAUGAAUUACCAAUAAUAAUUGUGAUUAAUUGUAAUUUACAAAGCAUUGAUGCUAUUUGACAUGAACAGUAGUUUACAUUUUACUCUGAUUGGGUGGAGAAAUCCAAAAACCACAACUCUGUAAUUUAAUGAGUAAAGUGUUUUGAUAUUAAAUCACACAUAUACUUCGAAAAUGCCACAGAAAAUAUAAUUUAUAGUACUGGAAAGGUGUUAAAAUCUGCUCUCCAUGUGUCACCUUCCUACAUUUGAAUUAAACUAUAUGUUUUUCUAAAGUCCAAUUUAGAAAAAAAACAAUAAUAAUACAGUAAUAAUCUGAUUCAAGAGCAUCAAGAUCAAAGAUAAGGGAUAAUUCUAUUUUACCAUAAUUUAAUUUAUUUCCUGACAGUCUAUACAAAGGUAAAGAAAGCCAACCGUUUUUCAAAAAGAAAUGCCCCUGCGCCAACUAGAGUAUUCAGCUGCAGAGUUUUAAACUUUCCUUUAAUGUAACUAUCGAGGGUCUUUAUUUCUGGACCAGGUAACAAAUAAAGUCUCCUUUUAGAUAAAAACACCAGCCAUGAGUUCAAUGGAACAAUCUUAAUGUCUGUGUGAUGGCAGCUCCAAGAACUUCUGCUUGCCAAAACUGUCAGUACGGCUGGCACAUUGCUCUGGAAAUAUAGCGACAGAGAAACAAUAAAAAAUGUUAUUUCAGUUACAAAAUGAAUGAGACGUUUUUAUUCCAUGCCUCCAAGUCUCUGUUCUCAGAUGUAUUUUUAGAUUAUGUCCACUUCAGAAUGCAGAAAGAAGAGCAGCAGCAUUUUGUUCUGCAGAAACAGGAGCAGUAAUGUCCGGUGGGCCUCACGUGUAACUCCAAGCACACUAAAAUAUUGCAUAUGGAUAAUGGGGUACACACAAAAAAUUCAGAUGCAUAAAACCAUACUUCAGCCAAAUUCACCAGUGUGAAAUGUAACACUUGUGCUCGCUCCUGC